rnacentral:lncRNA from 10 species
UGACCCCCACCUUUACAAGUGUCUGUAAUUCUCACUAGCAGUAUAUUAGAGGGCAAAAGAUUUGAACAGACACAUCAGAAAAGAAGACAUACAAAUGGCCGCUAAGCACUUGAAAGGAUUCUGAACACCAUUAGUCAUCAGUGAAAUGCAAAUUAAAGCCAUAAUGAAUGGCGCUAUACAUUUUCAGAAUGGCAAGGAUUGAAGACCGAAAAAAAUCAAGCGUUGGGAGAGUGACAAAUGGGGAGACAGCCGUGGUGCAUGAUCGCCGAAUAAAUACCAUGUGAGGAUACAGCAAGAAGGUGGCCAUCUACAAGCCAAGGAGACAGGCCUCAGAAGAAACCAACCCUUCUUACACCCUGGACUCAGACUUCUAAUCUCCAGAACUUGUUAAUGCACAAGGUCUUGUGUUGAAAAUGUAGAGCCACGAGAUAAAAGCAGCUUGGAUGGCUGACUCAUAUACAAGGACAACUGCCUGAGAGUCACCAGGGCUAUCAAGAAGUUUGCAGAAACAAGAAAUAAACUUUUACUGUUUUAAACUUUUGUGAAUUUUGGGUUUUGUUUAUCACCAAAUAAACCUAGUCUAUUCUGAUUGUUAUAAGUGGUUAAUUUGGGAAGUCAGAUAUAUUUAAAAUUGGCUUACUGCUGUAACAUAUACAGUCCAAAUUACAUAAUGGCUCAAAUGCAAUAGAAGUCUUUUUUUUUUUUGCUCACAUAUCACUUCACUGAGAUUCUGCAUUAAUUGUAAUGAUGAGGGUGAGGGUGUCU